GCCUGGGUGGCUCAGUCGGUUAAGCAUGUAACUCUUGAUUUCUACUUGGGUCAUGAUCUCACAGUUUGUGGGUUCGACCCCACCUCAGUCU
rnacentral:tRNA from 1 species